CAUGUCUCGGAUGAACCUUCCCGUGCUUUUUAGAACAUAGAUCGGAUCAGUCAGAUCACGAUCGCAACGUAAUACGCCGCAUAGACUUCGGUCAUGACGGUAUGGCGGGCUGCGCCGUCCACGUUUCUCUUUCUUCAAGAAGACAAAGAACCGCGUCGAUCCAGUUUAGGCUGGACCGGUUUGACGAGAAUGGGCCCGUAGCUCAGUUGGUUAGAGCACACGCUUGAUAAGCGUGGGGUCGGAAGUUCAAGUCUUCCCGGGCCCACCAUUCGCAUCUGCGAAUGAGGGUUGGGAAUUGACGGCAGGCGCGGAAAGUUGCCGAACCUGAGUUAUCUCAGGCGAUCGAGCUGAUGGGGCUGUAGCUCAGCUGGGAGAGCACCUGCUUUGCAAGCAGGGGGUCAGCGGUUCGAUCCCGCUCAGCUCCACCAAAUCGAUUGGUGUUGAGACUGGCGGCAACCGAGCGAAGCUCGCAAGCGUGAAGCGCGCGUCGCCAAUCGUUUGGCGCCCCCGCGGAGCGCCUUCGGCGCGUGAGCGACACAUUUGUCUUUUGAAGAAAUAAAAGUUUGCAUCGGCUUAUGCCUGAUGCCUGUUCUGCAUACAUUGUGAAGAGAAGAUUGAUCUGGAGGCUUCCAGGUGUUUUGGGUUUUGGCCCGAAACGUCCGAGCCCAGUUCUGCUGAUCCUNUGGAUGGCCUAGCCGGCCGGAGAUAGGGGAAGGACUGGAGGUAGGAAGGAAGCUUGUCGCUCUGGGUCGUUGUUGUUUGGUCAUCUUUAGGGAUGGGCAUCUGACGGACGACUUGAUUACCGUUGCCUGACCGCGCGGUAUCGGAUCAUAUCUCGAGAAGCUGGUCUUAAGACCUGACACAAGCGAGCUGCUCGGCGUAGCUCCAAUAAAGUGAUCAGGUCGAACACGUCGAUGGCAUCAAAGAUGGUCCGGGUUGUAAAAGGUAACCCUGGCCGCCGCAUCCCUUCGGGAUGCCGGCUAAGUGAUGAGCAUUGGCAAUGAGAACGAUUAAGUGUCGUAAGGGCAUUUGGUGGAUGCCUUGGCAUGCACAGGCGAUGAAGGACGUGAUACGCUGCGAAAAGCCGUGGGGAGCUGCGAAUGAGCUU
rnacentral:misc_RNA from 1 species